GCAGGGAAGAUAUCUUUCACAAAUGCCUUGACAUAAAUCUAACAUAUGUACACAUAACAUAUACAUAUAUAUAUAUAUGGUAAAUGUCAGUUCAUCCUACAGUAAUGGAGCAUCUCAAAUGUGCUUUUUUUCAUAAGUAGAAUUUUCAGUUUCAUUAAAGCUUCAAAUACUUUUAAAGUAUGGAACGAUGAAAGGAAGCUUUGAUGAUAUCCUCUUUAAUUUGUCAUUGGCUAUGAUUUUUAGACCUAAAUCCGUACACACUAAAGGACAAGCAAUCAUAUAGAAGAUACUUUAAUACAUAGAGAACAUUACGUGGAAGGUGCAAAGAGUUUCCAUUUACUUCCCAUGCCACCAUUUUCUUCUCAUUAAGAUUCCCCACCAGUUGGUGAGUGCACAUGGACACAUCAUAAUGGCAGGACUGUGAACGCUGCAAGUUUGAACAAAUAAAUAGUAUACCUUUACCAUUAUCAAAUCACACAGAAUGGUUCCACUGUCCAAAAAUCCUCUUUGUGUUUUGCUCAAUUCAUUCCCCUCCUCUCAAUUUAAAAUUCUCAGUUACAAGGAGAAAACACAAGGAAAGGAGGUGUAUCAAAGCAUGAAAAAUAUUGUCUGCAUAUCAAAGAAGAAAUCAAAUAAAUGAGCUAAUAAUGGAGUGUAAAAUUAAAAAAAAGAGCUAAUAAUGGAGUGUAAAAGACUGGAGGAAGAGAUGCACUAGAGAAUCAGAAGGGUCACAGAACAUGAACUUGCCAUUGAUCUGGUUGCAUGAAAGAUGCUCAGUAUCACAAAUAUUAAGAGGGGUUUAAGUUGAGACUACAGUGAGAGAGUUUCAUACCUAUGAAAUUCAGAUUUAUCCAGAGGCAAAAGCAUGAAGUUUAAAAUAUGACUGUAGGGCACAUUAUUCAUUCACCUAAUAGGAGGUUAAAAUAUAAAGUUUAAAGAUUCACUUAGAAUUAAGGACAAGUCAUAUGAUUAAACUCAAAAAUAUAAGACAAAGAGGGAAUAAGGCAGAGAGCACAGAAUAGAAGUCAUACUUCAACUAGUGAUCUUUUGCUAUUUUAUAAAACAAUUCUACAAAAUUAACUCUGAAAGUCUUUAAGCACAGAAUGAAAUAACAGAAACCCUCAGCUUGCUUCCUCUGUGGCAAUGCCACAUGGGGAGCAUUACUCAGUUACUUAAGGAUAGUUUGUCCAUAGUCUGAUUUCCCUAAGAUCAUAGCAGUAAGGGCUAUAAAUAAACACAAACUGCACAUAGGGCAAGGUGGGGGUGGACAUUGGGUAUCCACUGUAGCAGUGAAUUAGUUAAACCACUUUGGCUCCCAGUGGUCACACGAUUGCUGCACCCAUCCAAGAGCUCUCUGGAUUUGCAAAUGAAAGACACACACACCAACUAAUUUUUAUAUGCUUUGACUAGCUCAAUGGUUGGGCAUUUCUAAUCCUCUCCACAGCUAGCAUACAUUUCCCUCCAGUAUUCCAUCCUUAACAUCUUCUAAAUCCAUGUUUUAUCCUUGCUGCCCUGUUACUUUCUGGGAGUCCCCUACCCCCCCCCCAUAGGUCUGCUUUCCCUUUCCACUUACCAUUUUGGAUGAUUUUUCUUCUGCAGCUCUUAAAUCUGAACCCUCACCCUCCAAGUCAUGGCAAGUCUCCCUCCUGCCCCUUGGCCCCUUGCCCAUGCAAUCUAAAAGUCCUGCCCCCUCUUCCUGCCCAGCCAAUGACUAUAUGGCAAUUCUUUAUUAUCAAUUAAGCCAGCUGGGGGCAGGGACCCUCAGGAUUGGAAGUGUGACUUUUGGGAGCCAAAAUAAGACAAAGCAUUAGAACCAAUUCCCAACAUCUCACCAUUUUUGACC
rnacentral:lncRNA from 1 species